rnacentral:rRNA from 1 species
AUGAACGCUGGCGGCGUGCCUAAUACAUGCAAGUCGAGCGAACAGACGAGGAGCUUGCUCCUCUGACGUUAGCGGAGGACGGGUGAGUAACACGUGGAUAACCUACCUAUAAGACUGGGAUAACUUCGGGAAACCGGAGCUAAUACCGGAUAAUAUAUUGAACCGCAUGGUUCAAUAGUGAAAGACGGUUUUGCUGUCACUUAUAGAUGGAUCCGCGCCGCAUUAGCUAGUUGGUAAGGUAACGGCUUACCAAGGCAACGAUGCGUAGCCGACCUGAGAGGGUGAUCGGCCACACUGGAACUGAGACACGGUCCAGACUCCUACGGGAGGCAGCAGUAGGGAAUCUUCCGCAAUGGGCGAAAGCCUGACGGAGCAACGCCGCGUGAGUGAUGAAGGUCUUCGGAUCGUAAAACUCUGUUAUUAGGGAAGAACAAAUGUGUAAGUAACUAUGCACGUCUUGACGGUACCUAAUCAGAAAGCCACGGCUAACUACGUG